rnacentral:rRNA from 1 species
GAACGCUAGCUACAGGCUUAACACAUGCAAGUCGAGGGGCAUCAGGAAGAAAGCUUGCUUUCUUUGCUGGCGACCGGCGCACGGGUGAGUAACACGUAUCCAACCUGCCCUUUACUCGGGGAUAGCCUUUCGAAAGAAAGAUUAAUACCCGAUAGCAUAAUGAUUCCGCAUGGUUUCAUUAUUAAAGGAUUCCGGUAAAGGAUGGGGAUGCGUUCCAUUAGGUUGUUGGUGAGGUAACGGCCCACCAAGCCUUCGAUGGAUAGGGGUUCUGAGAGGAAGGUCCCCCACAUUGGAACUGAGACACGGUCCAAACUCCUACGGGAGGCAGCAGUGAGGAAUAUUGGUCAAUGGGCGCUAGCCUGAACCAGCCAAGUAGCGUGAAGGAUGAAGGCUCUAUGGGUCGUAAACUUCUUUUAUAUAAGAAUAAAGUGCAGUAUGUAUACUGUUUUGUAUGUAUUAUAUGAAUAAGGAUCGGCUAACUCCGUGCCAGCAGCCGCGGUAAUACGGAGGAUCCGAGCGUUAUCCGGAUUUAUCGGGUUUAAAGGGAGCGUAGGUGGACUGGUAAGUCAGUUGUGAAAGUUUGCGGCUCAACCGUAAAAUUGCAGUUGAUACUGUCAGUCUUGAGUACAGUAGAGGUGGGCGGAAUUCGUGGUGUAGCGGUGAAAUGCUUAGAUAUCACGAAGAACUCCGAUUGCGAAGGCAGCUCACUGGACUGCAACUGACACUGAUGCUCGAAAGUGUGGGUAUCAAACAGGACUAGAUACCCUGGUAGUCCACACAGUAAACGAUGAAUACUCGCUGUUUGCGAUAUACAGUAAGCGGCCAAGCGAAAGCAUUAAGUAUUCCACCUGGGGAGUACGCCGGCAACGGUGAAACUCAAAGGAAUUGACGGGGGCCCGCACAAGCGGAGGAACAUGUGGUUUAAUUCGAUGAUACGCGAGGAACCUUACCCGGGCUUAAAUUGCAGUGGAAUGAUGUGGAAACAUGUCAGUGAGCAAUCACCGCUGUGAAGGUGCUGCAUGGUUGUCGUCAGCUCGUGCCGUGAGGUGUCGGCUUAAGUGCCAUAACGAGCGCAACCCUUAUCUUUAGUUACUAACAGGUUAUGCUGAGGACUCUAGAGAGACUGCCGUCGUAAGAUGUGAGGAAGGUGGGGAUGACGUCAAAUCAGCACGGCCCUUACGUCCGGGGCUACACACGUGUUACAAUGGGGGGUACAGAAGGCAGCUAGCGGGUGACCGUAUGCUAAUCCCAAAAUCCUCUCUCAGUUCGGAUCGAAGUCUGCAACCCGACUUCGUGAAGCUGGAUUCGCUAGUAAUCGCGCAUCAGCCACGGCGCGGUGAAUACGUUCCCGGGCCUUGUACACACCGCCCGUCAAGCCAUGGGAGCCGGGGGUACCUGAAGUACGUAACCGCAAGGAUCGUCCUAGGGUAAAACUGGUGACUGGG